rnacentral:piRNA from 1 species
AAUAUGGUGACCUCCCGGGAGCG